GACGAACGCUGGCGGCGUGCUUAACACAUGCAAGUCGAGCGGUAAGGCCCUUUCGGGGGUACACGAGCGGCGAACGGGUGAGUAACACGUGGGUGACCUGCCCUCAGCUCUGGGAUAAGCCUGGGAAACCGGGUCUAAUACCGGAUAUGACUCCAUGACGCAUGUUGUGGGGUGAAAGCCUUGUGCGGCUGAGGAUGGGCCCGCGGCCUAUCAGCUUGUUGGUGGGGUGAUGGCCUACCAAGGCGACGACGGGUAGCCGGCCUGAGAGGGCGACCGGCCACACUGGGGACUGAGACACGGCCCAGACUCCUACGGGAGGCGGCAGUGGGGAAUCUUGCGCAAUGGGCGAAAGCCUGACGCAGCGACGCCGCGUGAGGGAUGACGGCCU
rnacentral:rRNA from 1 species